rnacentral:rRNA from 1 species
AGCGAACGCUGGCGGCAGGCUUAACACAUGCAAGUCGAGCGGGCAUCCUUGUGGUGUCAGCGGCAGACGGGUGAGUAACGCGUGGGAACGUGCCCUUCGGUUCGGAAUAACUCAGGGAAACUUGAGCUAAUACCGGAUACGUGCGAGAGCAGAAAGGUUUAUCUGCCGAAGGAUCGGCCCGCGUCUGAUUAGCUAGUUGGUGAGGUUAUGGCUCACCAAGGCGACGAUCAGUAGCUGGUCUGAGAGGAUGAUCAGCCACACUGGGACUGAGACACGGCCCAGACUCCCACGGGAGGCAGCAGUGGGGAAUAUUGGACAAUGGGGGCAACCCUGAUCCAGCCAUGCCGCGUGAGUGAUGACGGCCUUAGGGUUGUAAAGCUCUUUUCUCCGGGACGAUAAUGACGGUACCGGAGGAAUAAGCCCCGGCUAACUUCGUG